GGCUCUGAUACCACUGUUGGGUUCUGAUGAUACAGCAGAAUGUAAAUUUUAAAAAUUUUUGUAGGCAUUCAACAAUUAAAAAUAUCUUUAACAAUUAAACUAGACUAUCAAAACAUAAAAUCCUAGGAACACCUUGAUGAUUACAAUCAAAUAAAAUAAGCAUGUAUAACAAGAAGAGAUCAGAAGCCAUAUACCAACAUAAGAUGAGCAUCUGAUAAUUAUGAGAUCUCCAUAAGACCCUAAAAUAGAAGCCCUCCAACGGUGAUCUAUAUGAGACUUAUCAGAAUCCUUCCCAAUUUGACGUAGUGCUGCACUUCUUCACAAGUACGCUGCCGAUCGUCCUUCCCAAAAAUGGAUUGCACCAUCGCUUGUAUGCCUUCGAGACCUCCACUAGGACCACUCUAGAAAUCAUUUCUCAAAUAAUCUCAUCACACAAAAAUUAGAUUGAAUGUUCAACACUUGAAUAAUCUGAGUCCUACGUGUCUGGGACUCUGUGAUAGAGAAUCAAGAUUCUCUGACACGAGUUCCACACAUUUUGAGUACCGGGGUCAAGAGUCCCACUGAUUUGAGACUCUUCGAUCAAGGUUUCAUAUCGAUGGACUUUGAUGCCCAAUUG
rnacentral:lncRNA from 1 species